GUCGUUUAUGCCGUUGCUUUGGUGUUGUUGCUUGCCUCGGUCCAUGCAGAGUAUUCUCAUUUGCACAUACUUCGAGCGUCUUAGCGACUCUUUGGAACACGCCUUCGAGUUCUAAUUAUGAAUUCAAUUCAUGCAGAAAAUUAGUCGAGCUGAAUCAUCGCACACGGCUAGCGAUGCUUGUUGUUACUGUGGCCACUGCUGAUCUUCUGCCUUUGGUUUCGAUGCCUUGGCUCUGCUGUCGCACAGAUAAAAGCCACAUCAUAAUAUGAUUUAAGGCCAAAAAAUGGUGAAACUAAAAAAUGUGCAUAGCAAAUUCGUAUGGAAAAAAGUUAGAAAGACAAAAGCCAAAAUUGACUUGUGUUAAGUUUGGCAUGAGACAUAUGGCACAUAAGUUGAGGGAUUGGCAAGUGGGUGACUAGACCUCAGCGCUCACAACAAAAAACUAUAUUGAAAGAACUUAACAAAUAAAUUUAAAAAAAGAUAUGGCAACUUGUCAAUAAAGGCUAUAGAAUCAACUGCAAAUGGUAACGCUGUAACUGUCAAAGUUCGUACAGCGAUUCGGAAUGAAGCAGCUGCGCAUAGAGGUGCAUUUACCGUUAAAAACGGUUUGUUAAAUUGAUGGACUCAGCGUUGUUAGAAUAAGGUUAAGUACAAUAUAUCAACACAUAUUGGGCUUCGUUCAAUAAAUUUAUUACGAUAAGGAUUAUGGGAGCUAAUAUCUGAUUUUUGGAACUGACACUAUUAAUACGCGCGCUUAUUGCAUUUAUUGCCUCUAACCUGCGCCAAAAUUUGUUUACGUAGAAGUUAAAUUUUGUUAGUCUCCAGACAUAUUAGAUGCCUCAGGAACUAUCGCACAAAUGCCGAAAAUACUGCGUAUAUUAGCAUAGCAGAACAAAUGGACGCACAGUUGGUGUGAAAAUAUGUGUUUGACAUUCGCCAAGGCAAGAAAAAACGUACGCAAUUUAUUAAAAACACUAUUCAGUGUUCUUAUUGCCUUUGUUCGUUUGAAAUAAUGAAAUAACAUCAAAUAAGAAAAGACAGACAAACUAAUAACGGCUAACAGCAAUUGGAAAUUCAAUUUAUUAGACUUUGUCGUUUCGACGCCACUUACGCUCACUCACGCCGCCGUUGAAUAUCUUCGCCACUGAUGACAGCCAUAUUAUAGUAUUGUUAUUUUGUAGUAGUUUCUUCACAUUUCGCAAAGCAGCAGAAAAUUCCGUCAUACGAAGCAUUGCAAAUUUUCGCAGACAUUAUUAAUUUUGAUACACACACCCGCAUAUUUAACAGUACAUCUCUAGGUAUGUAUGUAGUUGGAAGUGUGGAUAUGCAUGUUGGCAUAAAAAACGAAAUUUUGCAUUAAAACAUUAACGUGCGCCGUAGUGCCUUAAAUUUUGCUGUCACAGCUCCGGAUUUAUAUGUAUUACUUUUAAUUUGUUAAUUUUUCUUUUGCUAGGCACAUUUGCACAGCCAUAAAUUUCGAUGAUAUAUGAAAACUGAAUAAAUAAUAAUAAAAAACCAAA